rnacentral:sRNA from 1 species
GCUGGGCAUGGUGGCGCAUGCCUGUAAUCCCAGCCGCGGGAAGACUGAGGCAGGAGGAUUGCGAGUUCAAAGCCAGCCUCAG